rnacentral:misc_RNA from 1 species
UGUGGAGCAGGAGCAGGAGC